UCACCUCCGCGCAGCGUUGGUCUUCCCGCCGCGGCUGUGGGACGUGGAGGGGCGCCCGGGAGGGAAGACUCAGGGCCCAGCAUCUGCUCGGGAGUCCCGGGGCCCCUGACCCCCUCUGCAGUUAUUAAGGGCGCCGGUUCCCGAGGCACCGAGAUGAUCAUGAUUGCAUCAGCCAGACAGAAGCGAAGCCGGGAGCUGCGCGGUGAGCGAGCAAACUUAUGACCUUUGCAGCGUGCGGCAGUAUCAUCCAUCACCCAGGCGCCGCUUACGGGGAUGAAGGGCGCUGGGAGCUCACACAGGGUCGCUGUCACGCCUACCGCGCUCUCUGGGGACCUCCUCUCUGGCCUGCAGGCCAGGGCUUAACAGUCUUGCAGCAGAUGGUGCCCGGGCUCCCGCUGCCAACCUUGCUAGGCGGUGCCAACCUCAGUCCUGGCAGACAACGGGCAGACGAGAAGAGGAUCUCCUGGCUGGCCAAGCCGACCCUCCCCCACCCGGCAUCGAGCUCAAGACCCCCCCCACACGCUUGCCCCACUCCAGCGACCACUUCAGCCUCCCUCUCACUGGGUCCGCUCCCAGGUCCCCAAACUCCUCGUCUCCUUCUGCUCCCUUCCCCACACCUUCCCGCUCCUCGCCACCUGCCGCCCUGACCAGGGCCGGCGUAUUUGCAUAUUUACAUAUGCAAAUAAUAACAUUUGCAUACAGCGCUCCGCAGGGGUGUCUCCGCGAGAGCCGGUUAGCUGUCUGCCCUGCGUCCUCACUCGGUACCUGUCGGAAAGGGUUAGGGCAGGGGCCGCGCGGGAGGGGUUAGGCCCCCGGCCUAGCUAGCUCGGUUCCCGGAGGACUUGAGGAAGUGUUGCCAUGGAGACGGCACGCACCCCACCCCCUCCCAGGCCCAGGGUCUCGGGCUUGGUGUCUCUGGUUCUCUCCCCUUACCCACCCUCUACCCCCUCCCCAUCCCUCGCUCUCCAACCGAGAUCUUGCAUCGCCCCCUGGCGGCCCAGCUCGGCGGCAAGCCAGAUUCCGAAAUACAAGGGGCUGCCUGCGGCUAAAUAGCCAAGAGCAAGGGGGACCUACCCUACUACAAGAUCCGGCUCCCAGCCGCUGGGGCGCGUGGGCGGCAACUGCAGCUCCGCGCUCCCCUUUCUUCACUGACCACAGAGGCCUCACCUGGCGGGCGCACUUGUCUUCCCACCUCCCGCCAACCUCAGCCCAGAUGGGUCUCAGGCUACCCGAUGGUAACGAGGUGGGGCAGUUAGGGAGGAUUCUCCACCCCUCCGCAGGCCGUCUCCUCAACCCCAGUUAAAGAACAACUUUUCGGCCGGGCGCGGUGACUCAAGCCUGUAAUCCCAG